AGGAAUGGGAGAUGUGAAUUUUUUUGUUUGCUAAUUAUUUUACAAAACUCUGUCUCCCAGAAUCCCUCGCUUUGGAAGGAGCAUCUCCAUGAUCUAGGCGGUAGCUUAUUAUCUCCUAGCUCGGUCACCCGUGUCUACCCGUCUUUGGAUGCUAUGGAGCCUGCAGGUAUGUAUUAUUGCCUCUGCUCUUGGUUAUGACUUUUUAAAAAGCGCAGGUAUGUAUUCUUUGCCCCUGGUUUUGAGAUUCACUUCCACAUCUUCCAUACAUACAUCUUGCCCUGUUUGUGUUUCAUUUCAUUUUUUAUUUAUUUUUGCUUCGGUAGGGUUCGGCGUACCUAUUGCACUGCUAAUUUGUAAGUGUUUAUUCAUCUUAUCCCAUCGCGAGGGCAUCAUAACACUAUGACAAGUCAUGUCUGGGCAUAUAAUGAAUUCUCAUGAAUUUAUUUUAGUUUAAACUAUUUUUUAAGUGUUUCUUUUCAUGAAGAGAAGUAUCACUAGGGCGUAUAUUUCCACAAAUUGUAUUUCUAGUUUUUACCUAAUCAUAUCAUGCUUUAGGGAUUAAUGGGUUGGUUUCUUUAUAUGGUUAAAUCACGAUUUAUAAACUAUUGGGCUGGUUUGUUCAAAUUUGGGAUCCGAUAUGAAAAUUUUCUAGUAGUAUAAUUUAUAUUUUUAUGCUAUUUGAUUUGAGGAGAUUUUUCUCUUUUCAACUUUUUAAUAAGGAAGAUUUUCUUUUUCAAAAUUCAAGUGAAGAAAAGUUGAAUGGUUUUAGUGAUCAUAAUGAUUUUAUCUUGCUUUCCUGGGAUCUUGUUCAUACUGGGGGUGAUUCUGAUUAAAAAGAAGUAUCUCAUUCAUAUCUUUGACAUAAUCAUGAGCAAUUUCCUUUUUAAAAAAUGGUUAGUUGUUAUUACAUCGUACUAGAUGCCCCGGUAGGGUAAAGGGCAUUGUAAACUCAUUGCCUUUCAUAAAGUGUUAUAUUAUUUCACUUUCAUUUUAUCGACCGAUUUAUAAUGUCAAAAGAGGCAAAGCUUAUAAUGCUCCUCAAAUAUUUGUGGGCAUUUCAAAUAUGUAUUUAGUUGGAAACUAGAGACCCAAUGAAGGAGGUUUGAAUUUUUGGUUGAAUAUGGAUAUUUAAAUGUUUCUCUUUGGCUCUUUCGAGCAAUCUUCUUACUAUUAUUUGGGAGAUGAAAGCAAGACACAACUAGGACUGUGAAACAAAAUCCAUUGUCUUCAAUAAUGAUUCAUAUAUUGUCAAUCCAUAUGGUUUUCUCAAUAUCUCCUCUUUAACAUUUAAGAUGCAAAAUAUGUAGACUGUCAUUUGUUUAUCUCUUUUAAGAUCUGUGUUGACUACCAACAACCCUAUGGACUGUUGUGUUCUUGUUUUAUCUCCAUUGGUCUUUGACUUUUGGCAAAGCUUCUCACAUAUCACUGUCAUGAAUCCAUUGCUCUAACCUUAUUUUCACUGUUGUAGCUUUUCCUCAUUCACUGUGGUGCACUCUCAUUAAAUCUUUGACAUUUUUUCAUGAAGGAUUUCACUGUCUCUCAGCCUUUGAACUAUUAGCUACAUUGGUCAUGAUUUGCAUUGUCUAUAUUUGGCUUACAAAGACAACUAUGCUAUCAUCUUUUGCCUCAGAUUUGCCAUAAGAGAUUUACACUUUCCUUGUCACUUAAAACUUCAUUUGUCUCAUGCAUUGAUAAUCAAGACGACCUCUAUUCUUAUUUUUGACUGAUCUUUUGGUAAUCAUAAUACCUCACUAUGAUUGUUAUCAACUUAUUGUUCUUGCUUUGUAUUGCAUUGUUGUUCUCAACUUUUAAGAGUAGUUCGAUAGGAAAAAGUAUUAGGCUUUUAAUUAAUGACAGUGAUUGAUAAUGUUUUUCAUGGCUGUCAAAUUUUAUUGAUACUCUUUUAAUAUUAUCCCAAGGUCAUUGCCCUUCAAUUUGAUUUUGUAAUCUUCAUGUCUUUAAAUUCUUCCACGAUGUAUUUCAACACUAUCAAUUACAUUGAUUUCAACUACAAUGCCUUAAGACGCUUCUCUCAUAUAAAUUUUGGUAGCUUUGAUGGGAUAUCGAAAGCUUAACUAUUUUGUUCAACAAUUUUUUUUUAUUUUUGGUAUUGAAGAGAUAUUUGGUAGUUACUUUUGAAUCCGUUUUGUAGAUAUUAUUUAAUGUUAUGUUGUAGUUGUGGUAAAUGUUUCCCCAAAACUAGUAUGAUCACAUGUUAGGUGCUAUUAACAACAAGUAUUAGCACAGAUUACUUCUUUUAGGAGUGUAAAAAACUAACCAUCUAUAUCAGUAUUAAAUACUGCUAUUACAUCGUAAGUAGGGGAAGAAUUGUUUAUUUCAAAGUGGCUCAAUGUUAUCCGGGAAUUUACUAUUUUUCUCUUUACUUGUGUAACAUCAUUAAGACAAGCCUUUCAGGGAACAAUACAUUCCGGAUCUUCAUUGGCAAUGUUCAAGUUACAGAAACAAAACUUCUUGAGCAUAUGUACUAUUUUUCACGAGAAAAUCAUUUACAACUAAUCACAACUAAUUCUACAGAUAUAAGAAUAUGUCCACAAGAAGGAUCCAAGAUGAGGCCAUUCAUAAAUGCGGCUAAAGCAUAAUAAAUAGUAAUUAUCACCAAUAUGACACGCGUUGGAGAUGGUACAUUUAUUUCUCCAUCUUCUUCAUUAUACUCAGUUUAUUCAGCUUAACAGGGAUAUCACCUAAUAUUUUAGUGGGCGUGACACAGUACUUGCUAUUAGGAAAAUAGUCACGAUGAAUGUUCUAGAUGAUUGGACAACAAGAGAUCCAUGUUUGCCUGCAUAUUUACCAUUAACUAGUGUUAUGUGCAAUGAGGAAGACCCUCCAUGAGUGACUACUAUGUAAAAUCCUUUCAUUAACACACUUAAAAAUUAAUUAAAAACUUAGAGCAAUGGAUACAUUAGGUGUCAUUUUAGCAGUGAAGGCUAUUAACCCACAUAACUUAAACACUUUUCAGGAAAUAAACAAAUAGGGGUCUCACUGGCAACAGACCUCCAAUCAUAGCCAACUUAACAAUAUUAAAAUGGUUAAUAAGAUAACUAGCCACAUACUUGUCUUGGAUAUCCGGGAGUACAAACUUUAAGAAAUAAGUGAACAUUCUAUUUUGCAGCCUAUAAAUGUGGUUUCCUCCAGUUUAACAAGUGACUAAUAAAUUUAUGCUAUUUAUUUUAGUUGUUAGGCAACAAUAAUUUUUCAGGUUGUAUUCCAGACCUUAGCACACUAAAGAACCUUAUGACAUUGUAACAGAUCCUUUAUAAUUUGACAGUGAUGUACUGCUUUUUCAAUUACUAUUCUUGGCCUUUUCUAGGGUUUUCAUGCUCAAAAACACUGUCACCUGUUGUUCUGAGGUCCUUUGGACUGUAAUAAGGCUUUCUACUCCUUUGUUGUAUCCACUUGGAUGUAGCCUUGAUUCAAUGUUCUAGGACUGUCACUAUAUUGUGACUGUCUUUUGCAUUUUCUUUCACUAAAAUCUGGCCUGUAUGCUUUUGUUGAUUGUGAUUGUCACCUAUAAAAGACACUAUCAUUACUAUUGAAGCAUUAACUCCACCUCAUGAUUGUACAUUAAUGUCUUUUAGCCUUCAACUUUUGACUGUUUUCUGCUCUUUGAGUCUAGAAGUUUGUACUAUGGCUCUGAGAUCUUGCAAUGACUGUAACUCCUUUCUUGAAUCAUCAUACCCCUAAUGACUUCUAUAACGGUAUUAUCCUUAUGUAUUAGAUGGCUCUCCCUUUUGCUUGAUACUUUAUGACUGUAACUUCAUCUAUGUUCUUAGUGUUUGUAUCUUCAAAGUGCUGCUACAUACCCGUUUUCAUGAGCUUAGGCACACAUUGAUAUGGAGCCCAUGUCUUUUCUAUGGCUGCCCUACUCCUUCAUGUAGCAUUUUUUUGUGCUUUAAUCAAACUGUGACAUUGUGUAGUUCCCUUCUAACUAUUGUUCAUGUAUCAAAGACUAGGUCUGUCUCUACACUUGAGAUCUAUAGGAUUGUUCAUGUUCUUUAUACAUUUUCUCUUUUGGUAUUAGUCAUAAACAUGACUUUGCUUGAACUUGACUGGGUGGCUGUAUUCAAUUGUGAUGGUUGGGCUGUUAACUAUUCUCUUGAUGUGGACUAUGACUGUCUCUUUUGAAUCAUCUUGAGACUGUUAUUGCUAAUAGCAUGAUGACGGUCCCUGUCUUAUUCUCCACUGUUUGAUCAUGAAGCUUGAUGACUAUAUUCUACUGUGUACUCCUUGAAUGAGCUGCCUCUUUGCUAAAAUCUGUUUUAGUAGUCUUGUUGACAAGGUUCCAGUGAUAAUAUUUAUCAUUUCAUUGCCCUUUUGUGUUCAGAAAAAUAGUCUUUAGUACUAUAACUUGAUUACACCCUACAUUUUUUAGUGAGUCCUCCUUAGGUCUUAUUGCUCAACAUAAGCAUAUCUAACAAGAUGUAGAUAUGAUUGUCUUCAACCUUCAAAUCUGAUAAUUUUGUGCUAUGGACUGUCUUUAAGGCUUUUAGACAACUCAAAUCCUUUGUCACUGUUAAAACCCCUAUGGCUAUUAAUCGCAUUAUGACUGUUAUCUCUUCUUUACUGAUUCUGGCUGCUAUUGGUGAAAGGCCGCAACACUAUAAUUUAUCUUCCUACAACUAUUUUGAUUGUUGUAACUAUUCUCUUCAUUGGGAUUAAAAUGGACGGACAUUUUGAUAGUGAAAAUACCACUUUAUUGACUCUCAACUGCUCUUUAUUGAAGACCUUGUCAGCACAUGCAUUGUAGAUGCGAAGGCUGUUUUGUGAUCACAAUUCAACUUACAUUGCCAAGUCCUCAUUUACUGCUCAGGAACUCUAUGACUGCACCUUGUGAUGUUCAUAAAGACCAAACCUAAUCUUGAGCCAAUGAUGAUGAAAUUUUGUAUAUCUCUAUUUUUUGGCAAUGAAUGCCAUUCACUUUAUUUUGUCAUCUCUUCAGCUCCACGCUUGUGUGGAUUUUCAAAGAAAAGUAAACAAAACCCUCUUACUAAAUUUGAUUGACAAAUCUACCUCAUGAUAUCAUGGUUUAGACUUAACAAGGCAUGUCUGUCUUAUGAGCUUUGACUACAUUUCUCUGACUGUGGCUACUCUGUCAUAAUCAAUAAGAUCCACUGUAGCAUGCAUUACACCUUUUGUUACAACCAUGAACUAAUUCUUCAUACAUUUAUUGGGUUUCUUUCAUAUAUGACUAUCACAUGCCAUUGUGAUCGAACCCUACUCUUUUUUUUCACCAUAGAUCUUUCUUUUGUUUUCAUAUAAAUGGAUCAUGUGACUGCAAAUUUUGACUUUAUCCACUGUCCUCCUCCUUAAUCUUACCUUGGAAUACUUCCUUCUUUGUUUUAACACCUUGCAAUCACUUGGGACUUUGAUCAAUUCACUGUUAUAAUUGCAUUUUGAAAGGUCAAAAACACUGUCUUUUGGUUGCUUUGAAGAUAUUUUGUCGAACUUUUGAAACCCUGUCACUACAUUAUCUGCUCUUUAGUAUGAUCUGCAAACCUCUCUUAAUGCAAUAUUUUUUGAACCUCUAUCAUUGCUCACAUUUUCAUAUCUACUCUGAACUUUGGGAAAGCUGUUUAGAAUAGUUUUGCUCAUCUUUUCCCUAAACAUGAAAAUGCCCUUGACUUCUCUGAGAUGUUAAACUGGGUCCUUGCACUCAUUUAGCGGUAACUUUUCUUCUUUAUAUCUUAUAACCUAUCACAUCACUACUAUGACAGGAAUGAAAAGCUAUCUAUAUGGGAAAAACAACUAAAACCCCGAAGGAGAAGAUUUUUCAAGAAGAAAAAUGAAAAGAACUAUAAAUCAAUUCCAACUCUUCAAAGGGAAGAGUACCUCAGAUCAGUCAUAUAAAUUUUUGAAGAUUUGUAAACACUCUACAUUUAUGAGAAAUAAUGAGCACAUCAUAGCACUAGGGUAUGGGAAAACUCUACCUCCUUAUUUUGAAAACUCUCUGAAAUCUGCCUACAGAUUCUUGCAUGUGUCAUUGUGGCAAAUCUUUCUACCAAUGCAUAAAUGAUUCCAUGAAACUGAUACUUUAUCCACGAGCUCCCUCCCUUAAUUUGUUGCUUUUCUUUGAGUGAAAGUCACUGUUCUUGGCAGCCAUAGAAGAAUAAUCUGUGAAGGUGGGACUUGAACAAACUCCUAGAGAUUAUGAUGUGGACAACUUAAAUCCAUUUAGGAGAAUGGACAUCAUAAGCAUGGUACCUGUCUAUAAGGUGGAAGAAUUGAAAAAUUUUGUUGCCAUGUUUAGCAUAUUACCUUUUGUUCUAGUCACUUGCAUAAUUCAGUAAUAAUUUUAACAUUGUGUUGCUCCUUUUACAACAAGAAGCAUUCCCAUCUGCAAAUGGUUAGACAUUGUUAAAAUCAUCAAAAGCUGCUUUGGACAAGGGAAAACUUGAUGAGGCUAUUAACUAUAGGACCAAGUUCAAUUCGUAGGCUUUGGCAAAGCUGGUUGCAAUCUGUGGUCCUUAACAUUGAAUGAUAGCUGGAGCAUACAACUUACUGGUUGUUGUAUUAUAUCAUACAGGGGAUUUCAAUCAGGUAUGUAGAUAUCAAGACUCUCUCUCUCUCUCUCACACACACACACACACACACACACACACACACCCCCACACACACACACAAUCAUGCGCGCAUACCAUGCACAUGUGUGCACACAUACACAAACCCUAAAGUAAAGUUGACUACAAAAUUUUACAUCCAUCCACAUUCCAUCAUAAAUAUCACAACCUAAAUAUAAUGCAAUAUCAUAUGAAUCAAAUUGAAUGAGAGCAACAAAGUUCUGGUUGGAAAAGUGGGUGCUAGAAGUUUCUUUAAGCUUGUGCAAUGUCUCUAUGAAAGCAUGUAGAAUUCUUGGUUCUAAAGCAACAUAAUCCACUAUCUCUUCAAGUUAUGGCUGCUCCAAAGCUUUUCACUAAGGUUCUCUUCGCUGCAAAGAAAGAGAAGGUCUCUUGAGUGUUGUCCAAUUUGUGUCAUGUGAUGGCCUUCAUGAUUAACCCCCAUUCAUCUUGAAUUUUAGAUUCUUGAGGCUACAAACUAUCUAUGUUUCUGCCUUUAAGUUCUGUCUUUUCCUUCUUUUUCGACUAUAGCUGUCCUUUAUAGCUUUGCUCCUUGUUUUAAUCUUGAUUAAGUCACAAAACAUUAUGUCUUUUCACAAAGAACCAUCUUUAUAGUCUUUUGUUCACUAUUAUGACAGACCUUGCCAUAUUUCCCUUACAUUUAUGAACUUAUGGCAAUCUUUAUCUCGACCUCCAUUGUACGGUUGUAAACCUUUUUUGCAUGUGAUGUUCUUCUUCCUACUGUUAGGACAGUCUAGACAUGGGACAAGUGAUCAAUGAUUGUAUUAUUUACUUUCAAUGCUAAGUUUACAACAAUGUCUUUUCAUUCACUACCUUUCCUUGUCUUAAGUUUUGUCCUUUGCUUUGCACAUGGACUUGUCUUCAUCAUUGAUCUUUGUUGUCCUUUAAGUCUUGUAUUCAUGCUUUUCUCUAACACUGUGAUGGUCUGCUAUGAUUGUUUUAGGUUGAUUCACAUAGUUUGUUGCUCUUAGUAGGUACAUUUAUUGUUGGUUUAUUAUAAUUUCAUCUACACCAUCAUUGUCACACUGUUGGAGUCCAACUAACCUGUUGAAAAGGUUGCUUAGUUUGCAGAUUGGAGAGAGAACAAAAAAACAAGGAUUUCUAUAUCCUAACAGUCUAUUCCUUGGUGUAGAUAAAAAUACUACUUCUUGUGCUCUGAUACCAAUUUUAGGCCAGGAAAUUGGAUUGCAGAUUAAAAACAGGGAUGAGCAGAAACUGGAUGGAGAAUAAUUUUAAACCCUAAUAGCCUAUUCCUUGGUGUAAAUGACAGAAUGCUCCCCGUGUUCUAAUACCAAUGUCAGGCCAGGAAAUUGGACUGCAAAGCAAAUUUAAAACUGUAUUGAUGCAAAAACCAAAAUUGAAUUACUGUCGCUCUUUACAAAGCACAUAUUUAUUAAUCUCAAAAGAUUGUUCUGCUCAUCUUCUGAGAUGACUCUUCAGCUUCACUUACAACUGUGUAAUAGCAGUAAAAAUAUCAUUAUUCCCUAGGAUUAUGUACAUUAGCACUUGGUGCAUCCUUGCUAUUAAUUGCAUUUUGCUUGUAAAUUUGGCCAUGA